CUAUUCAUGUUUCCAACUACAACUGCAUAUGAGGUCAUAUCAAAUAUCUCCUGCACAAACUAUGUCUAUACCUAGGAACAAGGGUUCAUCCUUCCAAUGAACUCAGGGAGGGGCUUUCAUUCAAGAUAUAUACUGUACUUAAACCAAAUUGUUAUUAUUGAGAUAGUUCUGGUUGCACUUUAACAUUUAUGUUCAUGUUUCAUGCAGGGCUAAUUUCAGGCCUGGUUCCUAUGUAUAUCGGUGAAAUUGCUCCAACCGCUCUCAGGGGAGCACUUGGCACUUUUCAUCAGCUGGCCAUCGUCACGGGCAUUCUUAUUAGUCAGGCUUGAAAAGACUCAGAGGAUAUGAUGAUGUCACCAAAGAUAUUAAUGAAAUGAGAA
rnacentral:sRNA from 1 species